GCCAGCUACCGGGAACCCUAAGCUACCGUUAGCAAGGCACAAAAGAACAUCGUCAAACUUCGUCAAACAUUUUUUUGCAUCAGGUGCUGCGUUCCAAACAUGAAUUGUCAUGGCACUUGGGAACAAUGGAAAAAGCUGAAGGACAUCCUGGUUAAAGAUAUGGCGCCAGCCUUAUUCGAACCAAGCAGUAAGGCAUGGGUCCAUCGACGCAUCGAAGAAUGGAAUGGAAGCUGCUUCAGGACUACAAGUUUCUGCUUCUGCUUUGAUCACACUCCAAACCCUUUACCACCAUGAACUGUGGAUCACAGGGUCAGAUGUCCACUAUCAAAAUAAUUCCAGCUUCCAAACUGUGCCAAUGUGAUGAGGAGUACAAGGCAGAGACAACAAGACAACAUUAAUCCUAUGGCAAAAGAAAUUCAAUCAAACCAGAGGAGAGCCACAUCUGUCCAGGGAACUCUAUAAGCUACUUCACCUACAGCAUGACCAAAAAUUUGGACAAUACAACAAUUGAUUUUAAACCAUAGAUAGUAGAUUGCAUGCAACCUUAUUCUUAUGUUACAGUAGAUAAGAUAGAAAUAACAGAAUUGAUAAUGACCUGUACUGUAGUUAAUCACAGGUUGUGCCUUAUAAUUGUUUUAACUAUGUCCUAGCCUAUUCAUCCACCUUGGUAUUACAUGUGGGUUUGAUUGAUAGUUGAUAGUUACAUCUUGUUACAUUCUGCAAUUCAUUAUUAAAAUGGUAAAUAACACGGCAGGUGUCUUUCAAAAGUGUCAUUACAAAACAAUUUAUAUGAAGAAAUGUGAUGAGGAGUAAUAACAUCAGUAGUUACCCAAGUGGAAUACCAUUUAGCAAUUAAAUACAAAUUCCUUGCUGAAAGUAUGCAA